rnacentral:lncRNA from 1 species
UCUUUAGCUACAGAUCCUGUGUGAGGUGAUUUCAUCAAGGUCUCUAUAGCUACAGAUCAGACCCUGUGUGAGGUGAUUUCAUCAAAGUCUCUAUAGCUACAGACCCUGUGUGAGGUGAUAUAUAGCUAGCAAUGUAAAUGUAGCUAGCAAAGUAAUGUAAGUCGCUCUGGAUAAGAGCGUCUGCUAAAUGACUUAAAUGAAAAUGAAAUGAAAUGAAAAUAUAUAGCUAGGGAGAAGACCCGUGUGAGGCGAUAUAUAGCUAGCGAGAAGACCUGUGUGAGGUGAUAUAUAGCUAGGGAGAAGACCUGUGUGAGGUGAUAUAUAGCUAGGGAGAAGACCUGUGUGAGGUGAUGUAUAGCUAGGGAGAAGACCUGUGUGAGGUGAUAUAUAGCUAGGGAGAAGACCUGUGUGAGGUGAUAUAUAGCUAGGGAGAAGACCUGUGUGAGGUGGAACUGGGAACCUAUAGAAUAGUCGUGAAAACUGCAAAUUCCACCCAUCUGGAACUGCCAAGCAGGCAAAUGCAAAAUGCUAAAAGUAUUUGAUUGAUUUCAAGUAGUGUUUAAACCCAGGUCUCCAUCCCAGUCGGUGACUGGUUAGACUGAAGCACUGCUGAGCUGGUUUUCUCGCAAAGCCCAGGUCCAUAAAACAUGACCUUGGCCAAUGCUGUAAAUGUCAAGUUUCUUUCUACCUGUGGAGAUGAAGAUAGGUGAGCAAUGUUGGACAAACUGUGUUUGUUGCAGAAUGGAUUGGACAUAGAAAUGUUGUGUGUAAGAAAAAGGAUGACAUAUAAAGAUGAUAAAAUGCUAAUUCAAAAUCACUUUAAGAAAUAAAUAUGCAAAGGGUGUUUGGACAGAGAGAGGGCAGAGAGAGGACAGAGAGUACAGAGAGAGGGAAGAGGGCAGAGAGAGGGCAGUGUGUGUUUGGCAGAGGACACAGAGAGGGAAGAGGACAGAGAGAGGGCAGAGGACAGAGAGAGGGCAGAGAGAGGACAGAGAGAGGGAAGAGGGCAGAGAGAGGGCAGUGUGUGUUUGGCAGAGGACACAGAGAGGGAAGAGGACAGAGAGAGGGCAGAGGACAGAGAGAGGGCAGAGAGAGGACAGAGAGAGGGAAGAGGGCAGAGAGAGGGCAGUGUGUGUUUGGCAGAGGACACAGAGAGGGAAGAGGACAGAGAGAGGGCAGUGUGAGUUUGGCAGAGGACAGAGAGAGGGCAGUGUGUAGAGGACAGAGAGAGGGCAGUGUGUGUU